rnacentral:rRNA from 1 species
CGCCGGUGUUAAUACCUACCGGGGAUUGCAGGACCUGAAGAAUAAACCCCGGCUAACUACCUGCCCGCAGCCGCGGUAAUACGUAGGGUGCAAGCGUUUAAAAAAGAAAACUGGGCGUUAAGCGUGCGCAGGGGGUUGUGUAAGUCUGAUGUGAAAACCCCGGGCUCAACCUGGGAACUGCAUUGGAGACUGCACGGCUAGAGUGCGUCAGAGGGGGGUAGAAUUCCACGUGUAGCAGUGAAAUGCGUAGAGAUGUGGAGGAAUACCGAUGGCGAAGG